rnacentral:rRNA from 1 species
AAACUUUCAACAACGGAUCUCUUGGCUCUGGCACCGAUGAAGAACGCAGCGAAAUGCGAUAAGUAAUGUGAAUUGCAGAACUCGGUGAAUCAUCGAAUCUUUGAACGCAUAUUGCGCCC